rnacentral:rRNA from 1 species
UUCUAAGGGCGGUGAAGUCAGACCGGAAGGACUGGUGGAGCGCUUAGAAGUGAGAAUGCCGGUAUGAGUAGCGAAAGAAGGGUGAGAAUCCCUUCCACCGAAUAUCUAAGGUUUCCUGAGGAAGGCUCGUCCGCUCAGGGUUAGUCGGGACCUAAGCCGAGGCCGAUAGGCGUAGGCGAUGGACAACAGGUAGAGAUUCCUGUACCAGUGCUAAUUGUUUAACCGAUGGGGUGACACAGAAGGAUAGGGAAUCGCACGAAUGGAAAUGUGCGUCCAAGCAGUGAGUGUGAGAAGUAGGCAAAUCCGCUUCUCGCGAAGCAUGAGCUGUGAUGGGGAAGGAAAUUAAGUACGGAAGUUCCUGAUUUCACGCUGUCAAGAAAAGCCUCUAGGAAGAGUAGUACUGCCCGUACCGCAAACCGACACAGGUAGAUGAGGAGAGAAUCCUAAGGUGAGCGAGAGAACUCUCGUUAAGGAACUCGGCAAAAUGACCCCGUAACUUCGGGAGAAGGGGUGCUCUAUUAGGGUGCAAGCCCGAGAGAGCCGCAGUGAAUAGGCCC